GGACGUAGUUAAGCAGAAAGGACUCAAUCCACACUUUGGCCAAAAUGGAGUUAAGUAUGCCAUCGUAUUCCCGAGGGUCGAAUCUAUCAUAUAAUGAAAACCCUAGCUUUAAAAUGUACAUUCAAACUAGUUUUUUCACUACUCCGACUCAAUCCACAAGUAUGAAGAGCAUACAAAAUGUAUUCGCUGAAAUAACUCAGUCCGCUUGAAUUGUUUUUGAGUGAUGAGAUUGCUAUGAAUGUGUUCCUAAGGUCGAUAAAACAGAAUAAACUCAAACAGUUUGAAUCCUUUCUAGGAAUUAGUUUUGAUUAGAAAUAUCAUUUUACUAAAUAACUGAAAAGACUCAAACAAAUUGGGUCGUUUCCGUGAUACAGGUUUACUGACAUAAAAUAUAUCUUUUUGUUUAUCAGAAACGACUCAAAACACUUAAGAUAUUACAGAAAAAGAGCUUUUGUUGAAAAGCGCAUUUAAUAUCAAAUAAUUUAGAAAUGACUCAAGCAGAAUGAGUCGUUAGUAAGAUAUAGAUGUUAGACUGAUAGUCAUAUAGAUUUGAUUGAAUUGAAACGACUUAAAAAAUUUGGUAUAAAGUUUAUGUAAUAAUAAAUCAAUUUCUAUUUUAUUUAGAAGGACUCAAACUACCUAUUUCCCUUUUGUGAAUCAGGCCAAGUAGUGUAAUGAGUUUGGAAACUAUGGUCUGCAAUAAAAUUAUUUAGUCAUGCGUUGUUUUGAUGUCUUAAAAAUAAGAGUAAACACAACUUUCCAGAGAUUUUUAUAGUGGCAACAUUUUGUUGGUAAAUAAUUCUCAAAAACUGGCAACUCUGCCAUUUUAUCUCACCUUGGGCUGGUAGACGCGUGUUUUGUUUUAUUUCAUUUUAAGUAUAUGAAACAAAAGAAGUGUAUUAAAAUGCGACGAAUUGAUCGAAUUUUGUUUAGUGCCUUGGGACAUAAGAUUAACGAAAAUACUGAAUUUUUAGAUGAGAGUGGCUUGGAAGAGAUUUCUGCAGCGGAGACUGUGCUGGAAUCUGUAAACGAUGACGUAGUUCCAACAGCUGUAAACUGACGUGACGAUCAAUCAACAUACUGAGUAAAUUUAGUUACCUACCUAUCUGGAAAUACCUGAGACUUCUUCAGAACUUGAAACAGAUGCGUCCAAGGACAUCAACUGCAAAGAUGACGGGUUUCAAGAUAAUAGUAUUUAUUUGCGCUCUUCAGCGACUCCGGCUGUAACUAAAGUGGAUGAUAUUACGAAAUCAGAUGUUGAAUCUCCAGCUGCCCCUCUGUACUCUCCAUUGACACCACUUGUGACUUUGCGCAAAACCAUAGCGGAAACAUGUCUUGACUCACCAGCUGCUCCUGCAUAUUCUCCACUAACUCCUCUUGCUACGCGGAAAGAAGCUGAAAAAAAUAACUCACCAAUACCACCAAUGUCACCGAGUACAUUAGAGUUAUUCGAAACCCUCAAUCAAGAUUUC